AUGCCCCGUGGUGUUGCUGUUGUGAUGCUCCCAUGGAGAGCUGUACCCGCCCCUGGGAGCCUGGGGCAGGGCUGGUGCCUCCGGCUGGGACCUGGAAACCGCCAGGGAGCUGUUUCCUCGCUGCGGUCUUGGCCUGCUCUGGAGCCUCCAUCCCGAAAUAAAGCCUGCGUGGGCAGGGGCCGGGCGCUGGCCAUCCCAGGGUCCCGCCCCUCGCCCCGCAUCCAGCCACACCUGCUUUCGCUCAGCUUUAUUGCCGCCUCCUCGGCCUCCGGACACGGCGAGGCCACGGACAGGGGCGCGGUGCAGAAGGGUGCCCGUCAGAGCCGGCGGGGCCUGGCUCGGUGUGGAGGGGUGGUGGUGGAGGGUCUUCCGCGGGGGUCCUGCCCCGCCGGCGGUGGGUGGCCAUUGCCCCGGGAGCCGCUGCUCGCCCGAGGCGUGGGGCUCAGCCCCGGGGGGGGCGGCCGGUCCUCGCGGCAUCGUGGGUGCACCGGACACAGUCAGGUCCCCCGAAAUCCAUCAGCGGCGGAGGAGGGCGGCCAGCGGGCAGAGCCAGGGCAGGGCCCGGCCCGACGGGGUCCCGGCCGGCGCGGCGGAGGUCCAGGCGCUGGCGGCCGCCGUCCAGUUGCCGUCGCGGUACUCGACGCCGUCUCCCGCUUGCAGCUCUCCGGACAGCCGGGCCCGGCGCAGGGCCGCCCCCGCCGCCACGCCGGCCGCCGCUCCCGCCGCCGCCGCCCCCGCCACGCGCAGGGCCGCCCCGGCAGAGCCGUACCGGGGCACGGCCGCCCUCGGCCGGCUGCGGGCCGCCCCCCGCGCCGCGCCGCGGGCCGCCCCCCGGGCGCCGCCGCGCCCACCCUUGCCGGCCACCGUGUCGCAGAAGGUGGCGGCCAGCAGCACCAGCGCCCAGCACGCCGCCGCGCUCCGCCGCAUCCCGCACCUGCCGCAGGGAGGAAGGGAGAGCCCCGCCGCUCAGCCGCGCCCGGCCGCGGGCGGGGGACCGCGCACCGACGAGUCCCGCUUGCGCGUGUGCUGGGGCCGCGCACGCGUGUGUCACCGCACACGCAGCAGCCCGCGCGUUGCAUAAACGCGCUCCCCCCACCCCUGUGGAUGAUGCUCUCGCACACGCACGCUCCCGCACGCCCCUGUGAAUGA
rnacentral:lncRNA from 1 species